CCCAGCCUGUGCCCCUGGGGCUCAGUCCUCCGACGACACUGGCUCCCUUACUGACCAUCCUGUCACAGAACUUUAACCUGCGUCUCUGCCAGCAGGACACCUCAGCUACUCCCUGCAGCCUGGGCCUGCCCAUGAACUCCAGGCGCCUGAUUCACUUGCUUCUACAGCAUCUCCGCUUGGGCAACUAACAGGCAUCUCAUACCUCUCACGUCCAGAACCGGACUCCUGCUCUUCCCACCUGCAAACCUGACCACUCCCCACUUCUCAGAUCAAAUCCCAAGCCUGGACCUUGACUCUCUUCUCUCUUUGUCUCAGCCCCACUCAAUCUAUUCGGCUAUCUCGCCAAAUAUCGCUGCCUCCAAAAUAUAACCGAGUCUAACCAGUUCUCUCCAUAUCCUCCCCACCACUCUGGGCCCACCCACCACCAUCCGCAUUGAUGACUGUGACCUCCCAAAGGUCCCCGUUUUCACCCUGCCUGCCUGGCGUCAGUGCUCAGCAGCCCAGGGAUCCAGGUCUCACUUGCGGCACGUGGGAAUUUUAGUUGCUGCGUGCACACUCGUAGUUGCAGCACGUGGGAUUAAGUUCCCUGACCAGCGAUGGAACCCCAGCCCUCUGCAUUAGGAGCACAGAGUCUUAGCCACUGGACCACCAGGGGAAGUCCUUUAAUUGCUACAGCUGUCACUGCCGUCCUGAUCUGGCCUUGGUCCCCGUAUUGGCUGCCCCUCCUCCCAGACAGGACACUCAGGCCGGGCUGGUCAGCUCCAAGCCCCUCCCCGGGGUCCAUUCUGAGCCAGUCCUUGCAGUUGAGACAUCCUGCUCCCAAGUCUAGCCCAGGUGCCUCCAACUGUGGGCCCAGAUCUUGGAGCCCAUGCCCUCCCCAUUUUCUUGACAGAAUGAACUCCAGGAGGCCAGCAAGUCCUCCUGGGCCAGAGACCCAGGCAAGGCCUUCAGGGGAAAAGCUGGACUGGAUGUAUCUGGAGGGAGGAAGAGGCAAUUGGAGGGGCUGGGAAGCGGGAUUUCUCUGUCUCCUCAGUUCCUCUGGGCUUCCCAGAUUCCCUGAGGUCUGAACACUGUGCCAGCAUGGGGAUGAAAAGAGACCAAGCCCACCACCUCAUCCCCUCAGGCCUAAGGGAAGGCCAGUCUUCCUGCCUCGUUCUGUCCACCCCAGGCCCCCAGCACUGAUGUCCCUCCUCCACCAGCCCCUGCCUCCUCCACAGAGGAUGGCUGAAUGGCCAUUGCAAGUCAGGCCCUUCUAGAUGUUGGAGAUACAACUACAGGUGGAGCCCUGGCUACUGGUCUGGGCCUCAGCUCCGGCCCAGAGUGCCCCUCCACACUGAGUCCAGAGAUGCAGAGAAGGCAGAUUUGACCCUGUUAAAUCGCGGAGGCCCGACUGAAGCGACUUAGCAGCAGCAGCAGCAGCUUCUUGGGGAGAGGUCAGGCCUGUCCCCACCGGCCCUGCCCUUCUCGCUCAUCAUACCCCCGGGAUGUGCAUGUGCCGGAGAGGCUCUCUCCCUGGGGCUCAGGCCUCCCCUCCUCUAGGAUUUUGGGGCCUUGAACACGUUCCCAGCCACCCUGCCCCCCUCUCUUCCUCCGGGCUUGGAGGUCACCUUCCCCGGGCCAGUAGACGCCCCCCGCCACCACAUGUGCUAUCCUGCGGAGCCCUGCGGUCCCCUCUCCCGCCCCUCACCCCGUGAGGGCUGGGACCGCGCCAGUCCUGUUCCGCGGCAUCCCCAGCGCCCCACAAAUCCGUGUCGAAUGAAUGAAUGUCUCCGGGCCCGAGCCUCGGCCUCAUUCAAGUCAGAUCUUCCGGGCCCUCCCCGGCCCGGCUCCGCCCUGGGUGGGGUUGGGUGCGGGGGCCGGAGCGCCGUGGAUCGCCGCCAGGGAGGUGACGGG
ensembl:lncRNA